AAACUUGUCCACUCCUUACGGGGGAGACAGUCAUGAGACGUGAGUAUAAGACCUGAGUGUAAAGACCUUAGGGUGAAGCAAUUGGAGGGCAAGCUUUGGUGCCAGCAGCCGCGGUAACUCCAACUCCAAGAGUGUCUAUGGUGGAUGCUGCAGUUAAAGGGUCCGUAGUCGUGAAUGCAAUUAAAUGUCGUUGUUCAAUAGCGAUGAGUUUGCUAAUGUUUGCGGAACGGAUAGGGAGUGUAGUAUAGACUGGCGAAGAAUGAAAUCUCAAGACCCAGUUUGGACUAACGGAGGCGAAGGCGACACUCUUAGACGUAUCUUAGGAUCAAGGACGAAGGCAGGAGUAUCGAAAGUGAUUAGACACCGCUGUAGUUCCUGCAGUAAACUAUGCCGACAGCCUGUGUGUGAGAAUACGUGGGCGGGAGAAAUCUUAGUGUUCGGGCUCUGGGGAUAGUACGCUCGCAAGGGUGAAACUUAAAGCGAAAUUGACGGAAGGACACUACCAGGAGUGGAUUGUGCUGCUUAAUUUAACUCAACGCGGGAAAACUUACCAGGGUCAAGUCAUUCGUUGAUCGAAUACGUGAGAAUGGCAGGA
rnacentral:rRNA from 1 species